rnacentral:lncRNA from 1 species
AUGGGAGGAAGGGCGGGCUGGUUCGGGGCGCUCGGAGGACUCCGGGGCUGGAUGCGGGUGUCAUCCCGCUGGGGCCGGGCUCCCCACCGACGAGCCCCGGGCCCAGGAGGCCAGGCCCGUGGGGGGCGGGGCCCGCGCGGGGGCUCCCCGGGCCGCGGGGGGCGUGGCCUCGGCGGCCGCCAUGUUCACGUUCCAGCAGGCGGGGCGGAAGCUCGCGCCCGGGGGGCGUCUGGCCCGCGGCUCGUCGCCCACUCCGCGGGCGCGAGCGACGUGGGCCCGCGGGGGGCCCGCGGGGCCAGGGACACGGGGAACGCGGGACCCCAGGCCACGUCGGAGGCCCCAGGCCCGGCCACCAAGAAAACCGGUGGGGGGGGGGGUGGGGGGGUGGGGGUGGGGCGUGGGGAAAGGCAAGGCCGCAGCGGCCACCCGGUCAGGGGCAGCAGCUGGCAGACAGGAGGGCGAAUGUCCCCGGGAUGGGGUACGGGAGCCGGGCGAGGAAGAGGGACGCUGGGGCCUCGCCUCGCCGCAGGGCAGAGUCAGAGCUGGGGUUCGUUGUCCUUGGCUCCCGCCGAACAGAGUCUGGGUGCCAGGCCCCGCGGCAUCCCGGCGGGCCCCUCUCGUGCCAAGGAUCAGAGGGGCUCCAUGCCCACUCGGCGUCGGUCCCUCGACAGGGCCAUCCUCCUCCGGACAGAGGGGACCGAGGCCUGUUUUCCGCCCUUCUCCCCGGGAACCUGGCGGCCCGGGGACGCCCUGUUCCUCGGCCUCCCUCCCCGCUGGACGGGUCCUCCUGUGUGCAGAGACAGGCCCCGGGGCCUUCCCGCACGGGGUCCCUGGGCUGCGGGCCACAGGGCUCCACCGAGACCACCUGGGGCUGGGGACCGCUCAGACCUUGUAGGUCGGGACCUGGCCCCAAGGUUGGGCCAACAAGGGCGGCCCCGAAAGGCUCGGCCCACACGAGGCAGACCCCCUGGCAACAUUGCCGGCGACUCCCCAAGUGGGAAAUUCGAAAGGGGCAGGGAGUGGGAUUCGGCACCCUUCCGGGAGUGGGGAAAGCAAGGGCUGUGUGCGCAGCAGGGACGGGUUGAGCCUGGACACUUGCUCCCAGGUCCCCGACACUCCACACCCCCGCCCCAACAUCCCACCCCCGCGGCAAGUAGGAGCCUGGCCAGAGGCACGAAGGAGCCAACCCGGAGGCUCUUCUUCCAGAAGCGAGCUAUGGGGACAGUCAGGGUCUAG